UAAUCAUAGACAUGAAGAACAAGACAACAUAAAUGGAAUGACUGAGGUUCACUCAACUCAUCUGAUCUGAGGAAGAAGAAUGCUUCUGUUAGCAUCAUCAUCUCCUUGUCUUUCUCUUCCUUCAGUCUCCCACCUUCAUUAUCAUCUUCCUUCCUCAUUCCCUUGCCCUUCUCUCCACCUUAGCUUUCCUUCUCAAGCAACCCCACUUCGCCUCCAUACCCCACCACCCCUUUCUUGUUCCCUUAAUUCUUCUUCCUCGGUGGAACAAUCUGCUUCACUUUCUCAGAUGCAGAAUAGCUUGUUGUACUCCAGAGCUUAUUGGGUCACUGAAUCUCUCAUUGCUUGGAAAGUGGACUUUGCAAAUGGGUUUUCUUGCCAACUUAUUGCCAGCAAAAAUGCUUCUUUGACCAUUGCCAAUGGCCAAAUUGAAGGUUUGAAUUUCUGACGGUUCCUUCUAGUUGUUCAAACCGGUGGAAGGAAAAGACGUAGUUGUCUCUUAUUUUCAAUUGAUUGCCGUGGACUUUGACUCAAUGGGUUGUGAAAUGCUAAUUAACAUGUGAGGAUUUGAAAGUUGAGCUUCAAGAGGAUAGGACUGGCCUUCCGGCGAAUGUAAUCUAUCCUUUUGUCCUGAAAUACUUAGGAAAUAUCUAACUGAUGAAGUGUGCUGCUGAUUGCUUUAUGGUUCCAUUAUUUUUGAAUAUCACAUACUUAUUAGUGCAAAACUUGCAAUGUUGGAGAAAUUUCCACAUAUUCGAGGUUACAAAGCUUUCAAGCUGCCAUCCACUUUGGAUGUUAAACCUCUCCUUAAAUCCCAGUUAGCGGUUGCAAUUUAUGAUUGUGAGUCCUCUUCUUUCUACAAGAUCCAGAAGUAUAUAUACUCUUCUUUC